GGCGUAUUGGUUGUAAACCCCUUUUGAUAGGGAAGAGGUUAUGACGGUACCUAUGGAAUCAGCAUCGGCUAACUCCGUGCCAGCAGCCGCGGUAAUACGGAGGAUGCAAGCGUUAUCCGGAAUUAUUGGGCGUAAAGCGUCCGUAGGUGGUUGUUCAAGUCUCCUGUUAAAGCGUGCGGCUUAACCCCAUACCGGCAGUGGAAACUGGGUGACUAGAGUGCGGUAGGGGUCGGGGGAAUUCCCAGUGUAGCGGUGAAAUGCGUAGAUAUUGGGAAGAACACCGGUGGCGCAAGCGC
rnacentral:rRNA from 1 species